rnacentral:rRNA from 1 species
GAUCCUGGCUCAGGAUGAACGCUGGCGGCGUGCCUAAUACAUGCAAGUCGAACGCGCAGCGAGAGGUGCUUGCACCUUUCAAGCGAAUGGCGAACGGGUGAGUAACACGUGGAUAACCUGCCUCAAGGCUGGGGAUAACAUUUGGAAACAGAUGCUAAUACCAAAUAAAACUUAGUAUCGCAUGAUAUGAAGUUAAAAGGCGCUACGGCGUCACCUAGAGAUGGAUCCGCGG